GCCCAGGUGGCGGAACUGGUAGACGCGCUAGCUUCAGGUGCUAGUUUCUGUAUGGAAGUGGAGGUUCGAGUCCUCUCCUGGGCACCA
rnacentral:tRNA from 4 species